AAACUUCACAAUGGGCGAAAGCCCGAUGAGGGAAUUCCAAGUGCGUAUACAUUAGUAUACGCUUUUGUUCAGCGUAGAUAACUGGACGAAUAAGGGCUGGGUAAGACGGGUGCCAGCCGCCGCGGUAAUACCCGCAGCCCGAGUGGUGGUCGAUUUUAUUGAGUCUAAAACGUUCGUAGCCGGUUUAGUAAAUCUCUGGGUAAAUCGGAAGGCUCAACUUUCCGAAUUCCGGAGAGACUGCUAGACUUGGGAUCGGGAGAGGUAAGAGGUACUUCAGGGGUAGGGGUAAAAUCCUGUAAUCCUUGGAGGACCACCGGUGGCGAAGGCGUCUUACUAGAACGAAUCCGACGGUGAGGGACGAAGCCCUAGGUCGCAAACGGGAUUAGAUACCCCGGUAGUCUAGGGUGUAAACGCUGCAGACUUGGUGUUGGGGACCCUUCGUGGGUAUUCAGUGCCGGAGAGAAGUUGUUAAGUCUGCUACUUGGGAGUACGUCCGCAAGGAUGAAACUUAAAGGAAUU
rnacentral:rRNA from 1 species